rnacentral:rRNA from 1 species
UACGGGGGGGGCAAGCGUUGUUCGGAAUUACUGGGCGUAAAGGGCGCGUAGGCGGUCACGCACGUCCGUUGUGAAAUCGCUCGGCUCAACUGGGCGGGGUCAGCGGAUACGGCGUGGCUGGAGCAAGCUAGGGGGCAAUGGAAUUCCCGGUGUAGUGGUGGAAUGCGUAGAUAUCGGGAGGAACACCAGUGGCGAAGGCGGUUGCCUGGAGCUUUGCUGACGCUGAUGCGCGAAAGCGUGGGGAGCGAGUCCGG